UGACGAAACGGUGCGCUCGUGGGCGCACCGUCGGCCCCGGGCGGCCGCCGGGGCCCUGACGAGUCAGGCCAGA
rnacentral:hammerhead_ribozyme from 2 species